rnacentral:rRNA from 1 species
CCUACGGGAGGCAGCAGCAAGGAAUCUUCCGCAAUGGGCGACAGCCUGACGGAGCAACGCCGCGUGUGGGAUGACGCCUUUCGGGGUGUAAACCACUUUUCUCAGGGAAGAAGCACUGACGGUACCUGAGGAAGAAGGACCGGCUAACUACGUGCCAGCAGCCGCGGUAAU